rnacentral:rRNA from 1 species
AUUGAACGCUGGCGGCAGGCCUAACACAUGCAAGUCGAGCGAGCGGCGGACGGGUGAGUAAUGUAUGGGGACUGCCCGAUAGAGGGGGAUAACUACUGGAAACGGUAGCUAAUACCGCAUACUAUCGGAUAACCCAUAUGGGAUUAGCUAGUUGGUGAGGUAACGGCUCACCAAGGCGACGAUCCCUCGCUGGUCUGGGAGGAUGAUCAGCCACACUGGGACGGAGACACGGCCCAUACUCCUACGGAGGCAGCAGUGGGGAAUAUUGCACAAUGGGCGCAAGCCUGAUGCAGCCAUGCAGCGUGUAUGAAGAAGGCUCUAGGGUUGUAAAGUAAUUUCAGUCGGGAGGCGUUACCGACAGAAGAAGCACCGGCUAACGCCGUGCCAGCAGCCGCGGUAAUUC